rnacentral:rRNA from 1 species
UACAGAGGUCUCAAGCGUUGUUCGGAUUCAUUGGGCGUAAAGGGUGCGUAGGCGGCCAUGUAAGUCAGGAGUGAAAGUUUGCGGCUCAACCGUAAAAUUGCUUUUGAUACUGCACGGCUGGAAUCAGGAUGAGGUCAGCGGAAUGUGGCAUGUAGCGGUGAAAUGCAUAGAUAUGCCAUAGAACACCAAUUGCGAAGGCAGCUGGCUAGACCUGUAUUGACGCUGAGGCACGAAAGCGUGGGGAGCGAACAGG